AGUGAACGCUGGCGGUAGGCCUAACACAUGCAAGUCGAACGGCAGCACAGUAAGAGCUUGCUCUUACGGGUGGCGAGUGGCGGACGGGUGAGGAAUACAUCGGCAUCUACUUUUUCGUGGGGGAUAACGUAGGGAAACUUACGCUAAUACCGCAUACUACCUACGGGUGAAAGCAGAGGAUCUUCGGACCUUGCGCGUUUCAAUUAGCCGAUGUCGGAUUAGCUAGUUGGCGGGGUAAAGGCCCACCAAGGCGACGAUCCGUAGCUGGUCUGAGAGGAUGAUCAGCCACACUGGAACUGAGACACGGUCCAGACUCCUACGGGAGGCAGCAGUGGGGAAUAUUGGACAAUGGGCGCAAGCCUGAUCCAGCCAUACCGCGUGAGUGAAGAAGGCCUUCGGGUUGUAAAGCCCUUUUGUUGGGAAAGAAAAGAAGCAGGUUAAUACCCCGCUGUUCUGACGGUACCCAAAGAAUAAGCACCGGCUAACUUCGUG
rnacentral:rRNA from 1 species